rnacentral:rRNA from 1 species
GAUGAACGCUGGCGGCGUGCCUAAUACAUGCAAGUCGAGCGAACGGACGAGAGGCUUGCUUCUCUGAUGUUAGCGGCGGACGGGUGAGUAACACGUGGAUAACCUACCUAUAAGACUGGGAUAACUUCGGGAAACCGUAGCUAAUACCGGAUAAUAUUUUGAACCGCAUGGUUCAAAAGUGAAAGACGGUCUUGCUGUCACUUAUAGAUGGAUCCGCGCUGCAUUAGCUAGUUGGUAAGGUAACGGCUUACCAAGGCAACGAUGCAUAGCCGACCUGAGAGGGUGAUCGGCCACACUGGAACUGAGACACGGUCCAGACUCCUACGGGAGGCAGCAGUAGGGAAUCUUCCGCAAUGGGCGAAAGCCUGACGGAGCAACGCCGCGUGAGUGAUGAGGGUCUUCGGAUCGUAAAACUCUGUUAUUAGGGAAGAACAUAUGUGUAAGUAACUGUGCACAUCUUGACGGUACCUAAUCAGAAAGCCACGGCUAACUACGUG